CACUCCUGCGGGAGGCAGCAGUGGGGAAUUUUGGACAAUGGGCGAAAGCCUGAUCCAGCAAUGCCGCGUGAGUGAAGAAGGCCUUCGGGUUGUAAAGCUCUUUUGUCAGGGAAGAAACGGUGAAAGCUAAUAUCUUUUGCUAAUGACGGUACCUGAAGAAUAAGCACCGGCUAACUACGUGCCAGCAGCCGCGGUAAUACGUAGGGUGCAAGCGUUAAUCGGAAUUACUGGGCGUAAAGCGUGCGCAGGCGGUUUUGUAAGUCUGAUGUGAAAUCCCCGGGCUCAACCUGGGAAUUGCAUUGGAGACUGCAAGGCUAGAAUCUGGCAGAGGGGGGUAGAAUUCCACGUGUAGCAGUGAAAUGCGUAGAUAUGUGGAGGAACACCGAUGGCGAAGGCAGCCCCCUGGGUCAAGAUUGACGCUCAUGCACUAAAGCGUGGGGAGCAAACAGGAUUAGAAACCCGUGUAGUCCC
rnacentral:rRNA from 1 species